GCCGCCUCCUCCCAGCCGGCAGCCCCGGCUCGGCGGGAGCUUCGGAUCCUCUCUGGUCUGCAGCGGAAAGCGGCGGUGGCGGAGACCAGGUUCUUCACCAGUCUAGGCCGGACUCCACUGCCACAAAAGUAGAUGGAAACCACACAGGCCCAGGUGAAGGCCCACGCAUUCCUUUGAGAAUGUUUUGAAAGGCACUAAUGGUUUCUCAGAUAAAUGCUUGUCUGCAUGUUCACAGAGUAUUUUGUGUUCGAUAUGAAAAGGCUACAGAGCACUCCCGGCCUCCUGUGUGCUCGGAUCUCCUGUAAUCCCAUGAUUUUAUGUUUAAGCUGAGCCUAUGGCUGUUCAGCAGAAGGCUGUUUCCUAGCUCUCUCGCAGCUGAAUAUGGCCUUGCAGCUAGACUCCAGCCAGUGAAACUCGGGUCCAAAUGUUGCACACACUUCUGUGU